rnacentral:lncRNA from 1 species
GGGAAAAGUACUAGAGGGAAUCAUGGUGAAUCGUCUGAAGGACACCAUACCGGAUGGCUGCAGAUGGCAAUUUGGAUUUCGAGAAGGACGCUGUGAGCACGGUGAGCACGGUUUCAGCCAGCCGGGCGAAAUACGUGCUCGGAAUCUUCGUGGAUUUUAAGGGAGCCUUCGACAACGUUGAGUGGAAUGCUGAAUUACGUCGUCUCCUAGAGCUGGGCUGCCGUGAAGCAGGCUUGUGGCGUAGCUUCUUCUCCGGCCGGAGUGCAAG